rnacentral:rRNA from 1 species
UACAGAGGGGGCAAGCGUUAUUCGGAAUUAUUGGGCGUAAAGGGCGCGUAGGCGGCCUGGCAAGUGGAAGGUGAAAUCCCUCGGCUUAACCGAGGAACUGCCCUCCAAACUGCUUGGCUUGAGUCCGGGAGAGGUGAGUGGAAUUCCCAGUGUAGCGGUGAAAUGCGUAGAUAUUGGGAGGAACACCAGGGGCGAAGGCGGCUCACUGGACCGGAACUGACGCUGAGGCGCGAAAGCGUGGGGAGCAAACGGG